rnacentral:lncRNA from 1 species
CUUUAACAGAGCUACUGCAGACAGAACAAGGGAAACAGCUCUGCCAAUAGCUCCCAGUGUGUGUGUGUGUGUGUGUGUGUGUGUGUGUGUGUGUGUGUGUGUGUGUGUGUGUGUGUGUGUGUGUGUGUGUGUGUGUGUGUGUGUGUGUGUGUGUGUGUGUGUGUGUGUGUGUGUGUGUGUGUGUGUAAGCCCUAUGCAUGACUGCUAGUCUUCUGAGCGAGUAGACUGCCGUCUGGUCGUCAUGGUUGUGUUGGACUGAAUGGAGCCGCUCUCCAUUUCUACGGAAUUAUCAAUUGGCAUCCUCCAGCUGUCCUCUCGGUCGUCCCAAUAUGCCCCCUGCUGAGGCUGCUGACACAUGGAGACGAUGAGCUGGGACCCCUCCACACAGGAAGUGCACAAGGUUGCCCAGACAAGAGCGUCUAUCAACACACAGCGGGAAUUGAAAACGGGUUUCUUCAGAGCGAGAAAAUGAAAGAAAAAGAUGACUGGAGCUGGAGAGGCAGGCCAGGGAGGGAGAUCUGGGUUUGAUAUACUCACCACUCUCCUCCAAUCUCUGCUUAGUAUCAAAGUCUGAAAAGGAUGUCGGUGGGCGGAGCCAGGAGGGUCGUUAGCGAAACGGGACUCACCUGGGCUUGGGUGUGUCCCGGAGAUAAAUACACCUUUCCCCCAUACAUUGAAGAGACUCUCUCCACAUAGACACUGUUGUUUUUGGUUCUGGCGAUUUGGGGCUUCUUUGUGUUCAUUUGUUUUGGCACCUCUCAACACCCCUCAUUAUCACCAUCUAUGCGCACAACCACUCACACUACUGACUACACACUCCAUUUGUUACUUGGA